GCUGGUUCUCUCCGAAAUAGCUUUAGGGCUAGCCUCAAGUGAUGAUUAUUGGAGGUAGAGCACUGUUUGGACGAGGGGCCCCUCUCGGGUUGCCGAAUUCAGACAAACUCCGAAUGCCAAUUAAUUUAACUUGGGAGUCAGAACAUGGGUGAUAAGGUCCGUGUUCGAAAGGGAAACAGCCCAGACCACCAGCUAAGGUCCCAAAAUAUAUGUUAAGUGGAAAAGGAUGUGGCGUUGCCCAGACAACUAGGAUGUUGGCUUAGAAGCAGCCAUCAUUUAAAGAGUGCGUAAUAGCUCACUAGUCGAGUGACACUGCGCCGAAAAUGUACCGGGGCUAAACAUAUUACCGAAGCUGUGGAUUGUCCUUUGGACAAUGGUAGGAGAGCGUUCUAAGGGCGUUGAAGCAUGAUCGUAAGGACAUGUGGAGCGCUUAGAAGUGAGAAUGCCGGUGUGAGUAGCGAAAGACGGGUGAGAAUCCCGUCCACCGAUUGACUAAGGUUUCCAGAGGAAGGCUCGUCCGCUCUGGGUUAGUCGGGUCCUAAGCUGAGGCCGACAGGCGUAGGCGAUGGAUAACAGGUUGAUAUUCCUGUACCACCUAUAAUCGUUUUAAUCGAUGGGGGGACGCAGUAGGAUAGGCGAAGCGUGCGAUUGGAUUGCACGUCUAAGCAGUAAGGCUGAGUAUUAGGCAAAUCCGGUACUCGUUAAGGCUGAGCUGUGAUGGGGAGAAGACAUUGUGUCUUCGAGUCGUUGAUUUCACACUGCCGAGAAAAGCCUCUAGAUAGAAAAUAGGUGCCCGUACCGCAAACCGACACAGGUAGUCAAGAUGAGAAUUCUAAGGUGAGCGAGCGAACUCUCGUUAAGGAACUCGGCAAAAUGACCCCGUAACUUCGGGAGAAGGGGUGCUCUUUAGGGUUAACGCCCAGAAGAGCCGCAGUGAAUAGGCCCAAGCGACUGUUUAUCAAAAACACAGGUCUCUGCUAAACCGUAAGGUGAUGUAUAGGGGCUGACGCCUGCCCGGUGCUGGAAGGUUAAGAGGAGUGGUUAGCUUCUGCGAAGCUACGAAUCGAAGCCCCAGUAAACGGCGGCCGUAACUAUAACGGUCCUAAGGUAGCGAAAUUCCUUGUCGGGUAAGUUCCGACCCGCACGAAAGGCGUAACGAUUUGGGCACUGUCUCAACGAGAGACUCGGUGAAAUCAUAGUACCUGUGAAGAUGCAGGUUACCCGCGACAGGACGGAAAGACCCCGUGGAGCUUUACUGUAGCCUGAUAUUGAAAUUCGGCACAGCUUGUACAGGAUAGGUAGGAGCCUUUGAAACGUGAGCGCUAGCUUACGUGGAGGCGCUGGUGGGAUACUACCCUAGCUGUGUUGGCUUUCUAACCCGCACCACUUAUCGUGGUGGGAGACAGUGUCAGGCGGGCAGUUUGACUGGGGCGGUCGCCUCCUAAAAGGUAACGGAGGCGCUCAAAGGUUCCCUCAGAAUGGUUGGAAAUCAUUCAUAGAGUGUAAAGGCAUAAGGGAGCUUGACUGCGAGACCUACAAGUCGAGCAGGGUCGAAAGACGGACUUAGUGAUCCGGUGGUUCCGCAUGGAAGGGCCAUCGCUCAACGGAUAAAAGCUACCCCGGGGAUAACAGGCUUAUCUCCCCCAAGAGUUCACAUCGACGGGGAGGUUUGGCACCUCGAUGUCGGCUCAUCGCAUCCUGGGGCUGUAGUCGGUCCCAAGGGUUGGGCUGUUCGCCCAUUAAAGCGGUACGCGAGCUGGGUUCAGAACGUCGUGAGACAGUUCGGUCCCUAUCCGUCGUGGGCGUAGGAAAUUUGAGAGGAGCUGUCCUUAGUACGAGAGGACCGGGAUGGACAUACCUCUGGUGUACCAGUUGUCGUGCCAACGGCAUAGCUGGGUAGCUAUGUGUGGACGGGAUAAGUGCUGAAAGCAUCUAAGCAUGAAGCCCCCCUCAAGAUGAGAUUUCCCAACUUCGGUUAUAAGAUCCCUCAAAGAUGAUGAGGUUAAUAGGUUCGAGGUGGAAGCAUGGUGACAUGUGGAGCUGACGAAUACUAAUCGAUCGAAGACUUAAUCAA
rnacentral:rRNA from 1 species